rnacentral:rRNA from 1 species
UAAUACGAAGGGGGCGAGCGUUGUUCGGAUUUACUGGGCGUAAAGGGCGCGUAGGCGGCCAUCUUUGUCAGGCGUGAAAGCCCCGGGCUCAACCUGGGAAUGGCGUCUGGGACGGGGUGGCUAGAGAUCGGGAGAGGAGCGUGGAAUUCCCAGUGUAGAGGUGAAAUUCGUAGAUAUUGGGAAGAACACCGGUGGCGAAGGCGGCGCUCUGGACCGAGACUGACGUUGAGGCGCGAAAGCGUGGGGAGCAAACAGGAUUAGAUACCCUGGUAGUCCACGCUGUAAACGAUGUGUGCUAGACGUUGGGGAGCCUAGCUCUUCGGUGUCGCAGCUAACGCGGUAAGCACACCGCCUGGGGAGUACGGCCGCAAGGUU